rnacentral:rRNA from 1 species
AUUGAACGCUGGCGGCAGGCCUAACACAUGCAAGUCGAACGGUAACAGGAAGAAGCUUGCUUCUUUGCUGACGAGUGGCGGACGGGUGAGUAAUGUCUGGGAAACUGCCUGAUGGAGGGGGAUAACUACUGGAAACGGUAGCUAAUACCGCAUAACGUCGCAAGACCAAAGAGGGGGACCUUCGGGCCUCUUGCCAUCGGAUGUGCCCAGAUGGGAUUAGCUAGUAGGUGGGGUAACGGCUCACCUAGGCGACGAUCCCUAGCUGGUCUGAGAGGAUGACCAGCCACACUGGAACUGAGACACGGUCCAGACGCCUACGGGAGGCAGCAGUGGGGAAUAUUGCACAAUGGGCGCAAGCCUGAUGCAGCCAUGCCGCGGGUAUGAAGAAGGCCUUCGGGUUGUAAAGUACUUUCAGCGGGGAGGAAGGGAGUAAAGUUAAUACCUUUGCUCAUUGACGUUACCCGCAGAAGAAGCACCGGCUAACUCCGU